UCGUACAGGUCUCCGUAGGUGAACCUGCGGAGGGAUCAUUACAAGAACGCCCGGGCUUCGGCCUGGUUAUUCAUAACCCUUUGUUGUCCGACUCUGUUGCCUCCGGGGCGACCCUGCCUUCGGGCGGGGGCUCCGGGUGGACACUUCAAACUCUUGCGUAACUUUGCAGUCUGAGUAAACUUAAUUAAUAAAUUAAAACUUUUAACAACGGAUCUCUUGGUUCUGGCAUCGAUGAAGAACGCAGCGAAAUGCGAUAAGUAAUGUGAAUUGCAGAAUUCAGUGAAUCAUCGAAUCUUUGAACGCACAUUGCGCCCCCUGGUAUUCCGGGGGGCAUGCCUGUUCGAGCGUCAUUUCACCACUCAAGCCUCGCUUGGUAUUGGGCAACGCGGUCCGCCGCGUGCCUCAAAUCGUCCGGCUGGGUCUUCUGUCCCCUAAGCGUUGUGGAAACUAUUCGCUAAAGGGUGUUCGGGAGGCUACGCCGUAAAACAACCCCAUUUCUAAGGUUGACCUCGGAUCAGGUAGGGAUACCCGCUGAACUUAAGCAUAUCA
rnacentral:rRNA from 1 species